GUUUAUUGGUCUUUCUUCUUAUAUAAGGAUCUGAAUAUUUGGUUGACUUUUGUUCUUUCAUGUUUCAGUAUUGGAUUUAUAUGUGUGCGCCCAAUAGUUUUCUUCUUCUUUUUUGUUUUGUUGUUUCAUUUUGCUAUGGAUUUCUAAACCUUUUAUAGAAAAUAUAUCUAUGCAUGUGGACUGUAAAGUCAAAGGUAUGUCUUUUUAAGAUUGUUAUGCAUAUUGAUAAGGGAAAUAAUGGGUAAAGUUGCUAUGGUGUUCUGUAUAUUUUCUGUUUAUGGGGUAAUAGGAAAAUGGUUUUUUCCUUUUAAUAUUUGCAGAGUGGUGUUGUUGAUGCAAUAAAGAUCUGAAUUUUUGGUUGACUUUUUCUUGAUCUUUUGUUCUUUCAUGUUUUAGUAUUGGAUUUAUUUAUGUGUAUGCCCAGUAGUUUUCGUCUUGUUACAGUUUCAUCUUGCUAUUGAUAUCUAAAUUUCCCUUUUUGGGUAAGGUGUAUAUGCUUGUUUGCUACUUUGGUUUAGAUAAGGAAUGUUCUACAUAGUGAAAAUCUUGAAUGCAUGUGGACUUUAAAGUCAAAGGUAUGUCUUUUUAAGAUUGUUAUGCAUAAUACAAAGGGAAAUAAUGAGUAAAGUUGCAAACUUUAUUGGUUUUCUGUAUAUUUCUGUUUAUGGGUUGUGAUAGGAAGCUGGGUUUUUUCUUCUAAUAUCCAUGGAAGUUCUGUUGAUAAUAGCAACAUUUGCAAAGUGGUGUUACUGAUGCAAUAAAGAUCUGAAUAUUUGGUUAACUUUUUCCUGAUCUUUUGUUCUUUCAUGUUUCAGUAUUGGAUUUGUUUAUGUGUAUGCCAAGUAAUUUUCUUCUUCUUAUAGUUUAAUUUUGCUUUUGAUUUCUACAUUUUCCUUGUUGGGUAUUGUGUAUAUACUGGUUUGGUUAGAUAAUUGUGAAAAUAUGUACAUCACUUGAUUUGGAGGAGGUUCAGAUUAUACCGAUUUUCAUGGGAAUACUUUUAUAUAACAGUGCCUGAAAUGGUUAACCCGUGGUUCUCUUCAGGUACUGCAUUACUGAAAGAGUAAAUCUUCCUUUCCGUGUAUUACGUUAUCAAAGAAUUAGACCGUACACGUACGGAAGUGAAUGUUAAGAUCUUCAAUAUGGACAACUUGGUGCAAGAUAAGAAAAUUUCCGGGACAAACUGAGCGAACAUUGAGUGCUGAUGUUGAGCUAAUGAUUCCAUCCCUCCUGAGAGACCUGAUAACUGUGUUCGCUUAAGUUGACGAUUUUCUUUAUCCCUUGUAUGGAUCUUUUGGAGGGCUUUCUGUGGGGUGGGGUAAAUUAAUUUCGACAAUGGCAUUCUUUCCUUGUUUUGCAGUGGUUUAUUCUAUUGGCGCUAGAGUUCAUGAUGAAUUUUUUGUGCUUUGCAGGUUCCCAUGUUUACAGCAUCUGGUUUGCGUGUUCGGUUUCUUAAGGUGUGGGAGAAGAGUGGCUACAACACAGUUGAGUGGGUUCGUUAUAUCACUAAAGCUGCUUCGUACGAGAUAAGGUGCCAAGAUGAAAGAACUACUUGAGUUGAGGUUGUCUUCGAUUGAUAGCCGGUGUAAAAAUUAAUCUUUUUGAGGGAUGGAAUCAUACCAACACUUAUGCACCGGAUCCUGUCAGAACUUUAAAUGUGCGUGGGCGAGAAUAGUACUAGGAUGGGUGACCCGCAGAGAGUUCUCAUGUUUCAUCUGUUACUGACCCCAACUAGUUUGGAAUUGAGCCGGAGCUUGAUUAUCUUCUUCUUUUUUUUUUUUUUUUUUUUUUUUUUUUGUGUGUGGUGGUGUUGUUGUUGUAAGUGAUUUGUGAGAACUGACAGGAGACCUUUGGUUAAUACUUUUCUAGUCCUUUUUGCUUAUUGUUGUUGGUUUGUUUGAUAUAUUUUCCCACACAAAUUACUGUAUCUUUGUCUUGCUAGUUCCUGGAAAUGAAUUAGAAGCUAUUUAACCUUCUAUUAAUUGAAAUGUUUUCUUUUGGUUCUAUCAUAUGUGGAUUAAUGACAAGAGUUUGGAAAAGUUUGAAAAAAAAGUAGACUAAAUCGUGUAACACUUCCUUUUUUAAUUGUUGAAGUUGUUUAAUAUUUAAUGUAUUUGUAUUAGUUU